rnacentral:rRNA from 1 species
GUACACUCCUACGGGAGGCAGCAGUGGGGAAUUUUGGACAAUGGGCGAAAGCCUGAUCCAGCAAUGCCGCGUGAGUGAAGAAGGCCUUCGGGUUGUAAAGCUCUUUGGUCAGGGAAGAAACGGUGAAAGCUAAUAUCUUUUGCUAAUGACGGUACCUGAAGAAUAAGCACCGGCUAACUACGUGCCAGCAGCCGCGGUAAUACGUAGGGUGCAAGCGUUAAUCGGAAUUACUGGGCGUAAAGCGUGCGCAGGCGGUUUUGUAAGUCUGAUGUGAAAUCCCCGGGCUCAACCUGGGAAUUGCAUUGGAGACUGCAAGGCUAGAAUCUGGCAGAGGGGGGUAGAAUUCCACGUGUAGCAGUGAAAUGCGUAGAUAUGUGGAGGAACACCGAUGGCGAAGGCAGCCCCCUGGGUCAAGAUUGACGCUCAUGCACGAAAGCGUGGGGAGCAAACAGGAUUAGAUACCCCAGUAGUCCC